ensembl:lncRNA
GUAAGUAGGUCUAGUGCUUAAAGAAAAGAUGAGAGAGCUUCCGGAACACUCUGUGCUCUGCUAUUGAAAAAGAUGAACAGAAUGGAGUAAAUAAAGGACGCUGAAAUAAAAGGAUUCUAAGGAGGAGAUGUAAAAGUCAGCAUUAGCUGGGACUUCAGAACAAAUGAAACCAAGGGAAACUAGGAGGGUCAGACGUCCCAGCUGUGUUCUGUUGGGACAAGCUCUGUUCACGGCAGGGGCUCUCUCAGGAGGAAGCUGAAGCCGCUCAGACUCGCUGUGGAGUGGGGAGAACUCCCAGGAACGAAAACGGGAGCUUUGAGACUCCUGUUGAGGGGGAAUCGCUGUGUGUAGACCAAGCAGGGGGCGGGGACUGCGCUGCUUCCGGGGCAUGUUCCUGGGAUGGACCGGAACAGAUCCAGCCCCUGACACCUGCGCUUCUGCUGACGCGCAGACGGCAAAGCACCGCCAAAGCAGCCCGAGCUGCAUCCAGGGACCCUGGAGCCCUGGGUGGCCUCAGCAGAAAGAGCUCAUUUCUCAGGGACUUAAAUGCGCCCACCCUCCCCCAUGGAAACCUGCAGGCCCUUUGUGAAUUUUCUCUCCUGGUCAUCAGUUACAG